AGAAGAGGGCCACUACGUCGUCGCGCUUCACGCCGACGUGCUCCUUCAACACCCUGGCGACUUUGUUACUCUGCUUGUCCAUAUCCCUGCCCUGUUUAAUUGACAUUUCCCCACCUCCAUCCUUGAUUCUCUAAGAAGACAAGAAAGAAUUCCCAAUAAAUCCUUGCAGGAAGAAAUCAUGGGAAGAGCAAUUCAAAGAGAGACCCCCUUCCAGGUCUGUGAUCAGAUGAGCUGAGACGGGACUGCAGAUCUUUUAAUAGGAGGCUUUUGCUGGAUUUAGCAUACCUAGGAGCAUAGGUUGGCAUGCUCUUAAAAGACCUCAAGGUAGGGAUUCCAAGAUAGAUUGAGAUAACAAAAGGAGUGUGUUAGCAUCAUUUGAGCUGAGUAUUCACGCUAUAUUGUUAUCAUUUUUGAGUGCAAUAGUUGACUCUGAUAUCCUUUAGUUGGGCCAACCAAGCCAGGGAAAGAUGACAGCCUCAGUCAGAGGGCUUUCUGAGUCAUCAGCACCUCUGCCACCACAAAGGAUGCUGCAACAAAAAAGUGACAGUACCAAACUCUCAGUUGGCCCAAUUUCUCUAUGAUGCAGUUUUCAAAUUUUCUCACACUUUGAUGUGUUAAAAGUGUCUGCCAAAUAUGUGUUUGUACAUUUGUUUUAUGUAGUUUGGCUUUUUGACAUUGAUUAUCAGAAAAAGAC